rnacentral:rRNA from 1 species
AACGCUGGCGGCAUGCCUAAAUACAUGCAAGUCGAACGAGGCGGAAGGAAGCUUGCUUUCUGAGGCCUAGUGGCGAACGGGUGAGUAACACGUGGGCAAUCUGCCCGUAUGUCGUGGAUAACGGUUGGAAACGACAGCUAAUACAGGAUGAGCAUCCCGAAGGCAUCUUUGGGAUGGAAAAGGGGCCAAGGCCCCGCAUACGGAUGAGCCUGCGGUGCAUUAGCUGGUUGGUGAGGUAACGGCUCACCAAGGCGAUGAUGCAUAGCCGACCUGAGAGGGUGACCGGCCACAUUGGGACUGAGACACGGCCCAAACUCCUACGGGAGGCAGCAGUAGGGAAUUUUCGUCAAUGGGGGGAACCCUGAACGAGCAAUGCCGCGUGAGCGAAGAAGGUCUUCGGAUCGUAAAGCUCUGUUGUAAGAGAAAAACGAGCGCCAUAGGGAAUGAUGGAGCAGUGAUGGUAUCUUACCAGAAAGCCACGGCUAACUACGUGCC